rnacentral:lncRNA from 1 species
UUUAGGGCUCCUUUGAUUCAAAGGAAUUUCAUGGGACUUUUGGAGGGUUAGAAUCCUUAGGAUUUUUUCCUACAUUUGUCGUUUGAUUCACAGGAUUGAAUCCUAUAGGAUUUUUUCCUAUGGAAUCAAGUGUACUACAUUUCAUUGGAAAUCUAGCAUCCACUCCAACCUCUUUUUUCAAUUUCUUUGUUUUUCCUGUAGCAUCAAACACUCUAGGCUAAUCCUAUAGGAUUCAAGUGGACAUGCCACUCAAAUCCUGUAUUUUCCCUAUUCCAGCGUUUUGAAAAUCCUGCAAAUCAAAGAGGGCCU